rnacentral:tRNA from 1 species
GGGCGGGUAGCUCAGUUGGCUAGAGCAUUCGCUUUACACGCGAGAGGUCCCGGGUUCGAGUCCCGGCCCGCCCA